ACACCGUUGGUGAAACGGUAUCAUGCAUCGUUGCCAUUUCAGUUAUUAAAACGGGAUAAAGAUCGAUGCGGCAAGGGUUCGACUCCCUUACGGUGUA
rnacentral:tRNA from 1 species